UACGUAGGUGGCAAGCGUUGUCCGGAAUUAUUGGGCGUAAAGCGCGCGCAGGCGGUCCUUUAAGUCUGAUGUGAAAGCCCACGGCUCAACCGUGGAGGGUCAUUGGAAACUGGGGGACUUGAGUGCAGAAGAGGAAAGCGGAAUUCCACGUGUAGCGGUGAAAUGCGUAGAGAUGUGGAGGAACACCAGUGGCGAAGGCGGCUUUCUGGUCUGUAACUGACGCUGAGGCGCGAAAGCGUGGGAGCA
rnacentral:rRNA from 1 species